AAACAGAUCGAUUGUUUUCAAUGGUCGGUGCCUGACAGCAUCUAUAAAAUCUAUCACCAUGUUUGCCAAUAAGAAAGCUUCAUAGAACAGGAAAACAACAAUGUCUUAUAGAAAUACUUCCAGGCCAUAUUUUCCAAUUUCUGUUGUAAUGUGGUUUAAUGCAAAAAAGAUCCAGGGACACAGAUGUCAGAAUGAAUAAGAAAACACUAAAUUCUUCAAUAAUAUAUUGUAAAAUGGACAGCAAGCACAUUUGAUAGACUAGUGUACUAAUAGAUUUUCUUGUGUAUUUUCUAUGUUCUGGAAACUUCAACAUCCUAUCAAAAAUACUUAAAUUAAAGUCUUAAGUUUAAUUAAAUGUUUUUUUUUUAAAUAUUAUUUGCAAGGCUGCAUGAACAUUGCACCUAUCGUUUUCGUAUAUUUCUUUUCCGCCAUGCAUAAGUUUAAUGUUUACUGUGACUUCUAUAAUGCUUAAAAAAUGAUGCAAUUGUAUUAUCAAUCUAAAAAUAUUAAUCGUGAACAACAACAAAAAUAAAUUAUAUAUUAAACGA